rnacentral:rRNA from 1 species
UCGGACGGUAGCACAGAGGAGCUUGCUCCUUGGGUGACGAGUGGCGGACGGGUGAGUAAUGUCUGGGGAUCUGCCCGAUAGAGGGGGAUAACCACUGGAAACGGUGGCUAAUACCGCAUAACGUCGCAAGACCAAAGAGGGGGACCUUCGGGCCUCUCACUAUCGGAUGAACCCAGAUGGGAUUAGCUAGUAGGCGGGGUAAUGGCCCACCUAGGCGACGAUCCCUAGCUGGUCUGAGAGGAUGACCAGCCACACUGGAACUGAGACGCGGUCCAGACUCCUACGGGAGGCAGCAGUGGGGAAUAUUGCGCAAUGGGCGCAAGCCUGAUGCAGCCAUGCCGCGUGUGUGAAGAAGGCCUUCGGGUUGUAAAGCACUUUCAGCGAGGAGGAAGGUGGUGAACUUAAUACGUUCAUCAAUUGACGUUACUCGCAGAAGAAGCACCGGCUAACUCCGUGCCAGCAGCCGCGGUAAUACGGAGGGUGCAAGCGUUAAUCGGAAUUACUGGGCGUAAAGCGCACGCAGGCGGUUUGUUAAGUCAGAUGUGAAAUCCCCGGGCUCAACCUGGGAACUGCAUUUGAAACUGGCAAGCUAGAGUCUCGUAGAGGGGGGUAGAAUUCCAGGUGUAGCGGUGAAAUGCGUAGAGAUCUGGAGGAAUACCGGUGGCGAAGGCGGCCCCCUGGACGAAGACUGACGCUCAGGUGCGAAAGCGUGGGGAGCAAACAGGAUU